rnacentral:rRNA from 1 species
GCACCCAAGGGAUAUCCUCUGCAACCCAGUGGCUAAUACCCGUCUGCCAAGGUCUGCCACACACGGUGUGUCAGCGAUCCCGCUGCCUCAUGGUGGUGGAUUGCGCCCAGCUGCCCUUAAGACCGGCGCCUGGGAAAGGCAGUGUGUUGGUUGACUCAGGCUGGAUCCCUUGGGGACACCUGUGCUGGCUGGAGAGUGGCUUGCCACCCAUUGCUUGAUCACACGAACUUCUGACCUAUCAGCCUUGACUGUGGUGUAGUGGACCACAGUGGCAAUGACGGGUAACGGAGAAUUUGGGUUCGAUUCCGGAGAGGGAGCCUGAGAGACGGCUACCACUACCAAGGUGGGCAGCAGGCGCGCAAAUUGCCCAAUACAGAAACACACCUGUGAGGCAGCGACGAACUGCAGCAAUUCUGCCAGCAACCUGUUGGUGGAACUUGGAAUGGAUGCAAUCCAAACACCGUGAUGAGUAUCAACUGGAGGGCAAGUCUGGUGCCAGCAGCUGCGGUAAUUCCAGCUCCAAGGGCGUAUACUGACAUUGCUGCUGUUAAAGCGCUUGUAGUCUGCCACUGGGAUUCAGGUCUGACAGGUGGCCGGUGGGCCUGUGGUACCUCCCCUGGGCACUGCCCCGCGCAGGGCCCGGUGGGUGGGUUGUCACAGGUCCGCUGGAACACAACCCCUGGCAGUAUGCUCCUGAUCCCGCUCCAAGGAUGGUGAGACCUGCUCCCGCAUGAAGUCUCCUUCAGUGGAGAUCAAGGCAAGUGAUGCACCCUACCCUUGCUAGUGACGACCCGGGGAUGCGGACCUCCCGUGCCCGCAUAGCACAACCCCUGUCACACUACAGGAGCCCACCAUCGGAGACACCGUGGAAAACUCAGUGUGCUCAAAGCAACCAGUCUUGGCUGAAUGCCUAUCCAUGGGAUGUCAAAGCAUCGACCAAAUGUGGCCUGUGAGAGUUGUGCCGGGCCUUGGAGCCCAUUGCAAUGGGGAACCUGGUGCGUUGUACCCCGACUCGUCCCCCGAGGGGCCUCCCUGUGAGGAUCCCCGAGGGGGCCUGUCGGCGGUGGCAUGCAUCGACCGGAGACGAGGGGACCCUUCGGGGUGACAGAUACUGCAACGCCAGAGGUGAAAUUCUUAGACCGCUGCCUGAUCAACUGCAGCGAAGGCGUUCUGCAAGCCUGUGUCCGUCGAUCAAGAACGAGAGUUUGGGGAGCGAAGAUGAUCAGACACCGUCGUAGUCCAACACUGUAAACCAUGCCAGCUAGGCCCCGGUGGAGCAAGUAACCGGACUCCACCGGAGCCACCCCCGCAACGAGAAAUCCCAAGCCUUUGGGUUCAGGGGGGAGUACUGUCGCAAGGCUGAAACUUAAAGGAAUUGACGGAAUGGCACCACAAGGCGUGGAGUAUGCGGCUUAAUUUGACUCAACACGGGGAAUGUUACCAGGUCAGGACGUUGCUUGGAUGGACAGACUGAGAGCUCUUUCUUGAUCCCUCGGAUGGUGGUGCAUGGCCGCUCCUGAUUGGUGGAGUGAUCUGUCUGGUUGAUUCCGUUAACGAGUGAGAUCUCUGCCUCCCAAUAGCCCCAGUCUCGUGCUUGUAGGGUUUGGACACAGAUGGGAACAGGCUGCCCACCAGCUCGUCCCCGCCGGCGGUGGGAGGGGGUUCGUCCCCCUCUCACACUAGAGCCGACAGGGGUUCCCACUGGUCCCCCGAGAGGUCUGGGCCAAGCUUCUCUGAGGUGCUGUGUGCGCUUUAAGUGCAAGCAUGCUAGAGCCAACAGCAGGUCUGUGAUGCUCCCAGAUGUCCUGGGCCGCACGCGCACUACAUUGAUGCAGUGAAUGUGUGACCCUCCCCUGGUGGAGGCCUUGUCCAGAAGUGGAAUGGGAAACCCUGCGAGUCUGCACUGUACUGGGGAUAGAUGCUUGCAACUGUCUGCCUUGAACGAGGAAUGCCUAGUAUGCGCA